rnacentral:rRNA from 1 species
GACGAACGCUGGCGGCGUGCUUAACACAUGCAAGUCGAACGGAAAGGCCCUGCUUUUGUGGGGUGCUCGAGUGGCGAACGGGUGAGUAACACGUGAGUAACCUGCCCUUGACUUUGGGAUAACUUCAGGAAACUGGGGCUAAUACCGGAUAGGAGCUCCUGCUGCAUGGUGGGGGUUGGAAAGUUUCGGCGGUUGGGGAUGGACGCGCGGCUUAUCAGCUUGUUGGUUGGGUAGUGGCUUACCAAGGGUUUGACGGAUAGCCGGCCUGAGAGGGUGGCCGGCCACCUUGGGACUGCGAUACGGACCAGACUGCUAUGUGAGGCAGCAGUGGGGAAUAUGGCACAAUGGGCGCACGUCCGAUGCAGAAACGCCGCGUGCGGGAUGACGGUCUUCGGGGUGUAAACAGCCUUCGCCUGUGACGAAGCGUGAGUGACGGUAAUGGGUAAAGAAGCACCGGCUAACUACGUG